rnacentral:tRNA from 1 species
GCGGACGUGGCGAAACUGGUAGACGCAGCAGACUUAAAAUCUGCUUCCUUUCAGGAGUGCGGGUUCGAUCCCCGCCGUCCGCACCA